rnacentral:misc_RNA from 1 species
CUCCGAUUCACAGAAAAUAUUACGUAAGGACAAAUUAAACCAAAUUGAUUUAAACUAUUUUAACAGAGACAAUUUCAAGCUCAACAAAAGGAUCGACACCAUCCGUAAUUUCUGAAUUAAAGAAAAUUUCACAUAAUUGGCUAGGCAAUAUGCACAACAGUUGGCAAAUGUAGGGGCAAAGCUAACAACAAUAGAGAGGGAGACUGAUUCAUAACCAAUCAAUGGCCCAAUCUUGACAUUGAUAGAAGAUAAUGGCUGUCAUCAGCAACUCUUGCAUUUCAUCAACC